rnacentral:sRNA from 1 species
UUCACAGUCCUGGAGACUGUAGUCCUCUGUUAAUCCACACAACAGUUACAGCACAGGCAUUGGCAGCACUAGCUUUCCAUCAAUGUGCUCCAGCUCUGACUUGGAAGUCAUACACAGGAGAGGAUGGUUCAGUCUCUGUGCCCAUUACUACCCUGGUGUGU